ensembl:lncRNA
UUGGCGUCUCGACCCAGUGGUUCUGAGGUGGGUUCUUGGGAGUCGCAUCGGCAGUGUGGUCCCGGGCGGCUGUACGCCUGGGGUCUUCGCCUCGAGCCUCGACCCAGUGGUUCUGAGGAGGGUUCUUGGGAGUCGGCGUCGGCAGCGGGGUCCCGGACGGCGUUGGGUCUGGGGUCUUCGCCUCGGCGUCUCGACCCAGCGGUUCUGAAGCGGGUUCUUGGGCGUGUCCGGCGUCGGCAGCGGGGUCCCCGGGCGGCCGGUGGGUCUGGGGUCUUCGCCUCGGCGUCUCGACCAGCGGUUCUGAGCGGGUUCUUGGGCGUGUCGGCGUCGGCAGCGGGGUCCCGGGCGGCGGCGGGUCUGGGGUCGGCGCCCCGGCGUCUCGACCCGGCGGUUCUGAGGCGGGUUCUUGGGCGUUUCAGCGUCGGCACCGGGGUCCCGGGCGGCCGGUGGGUCUGGGGUCUGCGCCGCGGCGUCUCGACCCAGCGGUUCUGAAGCGGGUCUUGGGCGUGUCGGCGUCGGCAGCGGGGUCCCGGACGGCGUUGGGUCUGGGGUCUUCGCCUCGGCGUCUCGACCCGGCGGUUCUGAGCGGGUUCUUGGGCGUGUCCGGCGUCGGCAGCGGGUUCCCCGGCGGCGGCGGGUCUGGGGUCUUCGCCUUGGCGUCUCGACCCAGUGGUUCUGAGGUGGGUUCUUGGGAGUUGGCAUCGGCAGUGUGGUCCCGGGCGGCUGUACGCCUGGGGUCUUCGCCUCGAGCCUCGACCCAGUGGUUCUGAGGAGGGUUCUUGGGAGUCGGCGUCGGCAGCGGGGUCCCGGACGGCGUUGGGUCUGGGGUCUUCGCCUCGGCGUCUCGACCCAGCGGUUCUGAAGCGGGUUCUUGGGCGUGUCGGCGUCGGCAGCGGGGUCCCCGGCGGCGGAGGGUCUGGGUCUUCGCCUCGGCCUCUCGACCCAGCGGUUCUGAAGCGGGUUCUUGGGCGUGUCGGCGUCGGCAGCGGGUUCCCCGGCGGCGGCGGGUCUGGGUCGGCGCCCCGGCGUCUCGACUCGGUGGUUCUGAAGCGGGUUCUUGGGCGUGUCGGCGUCGGCAGCGGGGUCCCCGGCGGCGGAGGGUCUGGGGUCUUCGCCUCGGCGUCUCGACCCAGCGGUUCUGAAGCGGGUUCUUGGGCGUGUCGGCGUCGGCAGCGGGGUCCCGGGCGGCCGGUGGGUCUGGGUCUUCGCCUCGGCGUCUCGACCAGCGGUUCUGAAGCGGGUUCUUGGGCGUGUCGGCGUAGGCAACUUGGUCCCGGGCGGCGGGGGCGGGUCUGGGGUCUGCGUCCCGGCGGUCGUGCUUCCGGGCCUGGAGGGUGUGGUGGGCGGGGGGCGAGGGGCCGUCGCGGUUCCCCUCCGAGGGCGCGGGGCCGCCAGGCCAGCGGAGCACAGGUGGGGCCGCAGGAGCUUGUCCGCUGGGAGCAUGGCACGUGUGUUCGCACGUGUGGGGUAGUGCGGUCUCGGGGCGUUGGUGAUGAAGGGGCCAAGCCGGUGUGUGAGCGCGGGCGGAGAGUCGUGUGUGGACGCGGAGUGCCUAGCUCCUCGGGGAGUUGGCGGUUAGCUGUCGGGACUUUGGGGAACGUGGCACGUGCGAUUGCUGCCCCCUCUGACUCGGGGGCUGGUGCGAGUCGCGGCCGAUUUGGGAGGAUUAGGCGCGUGUGCAUAGGGGCAGCGCUUGGACCGGCGCCUGCGUGUGUUGGUUUCGGUGUGUGGGCUCUGACUCGGGGGCUGGUGCGAGUCGCGGCCGAUUUGGGAGGAUUAGGCGCGUGUGCAUAG